UCCUCUUCUCUUUUCCUUUCUUUUUUCUCUUUCCCUAUCUCCCAAAAAAAGUUAGAAGAGAGAUUGUCGUGUAGAGUGCAAGGCCAGGGAUCAUUGAUUUAAAUAUCUCCCAUUGGAUAAGGUGAGAAAUAUGAUAAUAUUUAUUUCCAAAUUCGUCUCCCUCAACCGCCAUCAUUGAAGCUGUCUUUCCAUCGACAUUAAGAAGAGAAGGAGAAGCACCAGAGAGAAGAAGAAAAGAAACAAUUUCUUUUCUUCCCCAUUUCGCCGCUUGGUGGAGAGCUGUUUCUUCUUUAUCAUCUUUAGCAUCAAGAUUGGCACCAAAAUGGAUUAAAAUUUGAAGACAUUUCAAUUCUCCAUUUGCAGCUGCCAA
rnacentral:ribozyme from 13 species